AUGCUUCUCUUGUAUGUUGACGAUAUUGUCAUCACCGCCUCUCGCGCGGAACUACUUCGCGACAUCAUCGGUCGUCUUGGUUCUGAGUUUCGGCUGAAGGACUUGGGCGCAUUGCACUUCUUCCUCGGCAUUAAUGUGCGACGUGAUGCCUCCGGAUUCUUUCUUCAUCAAGGACAGUAUGCUCUUGAUCUCCUGGAUCGUGCUGGUAUGACUGACUGCAAGCCUGCUGCCACUCCUGCCGAGGCCAAACCGAAGCUUUCUGCUACUGCUGGGCAACCUGCCACUGAUGCCGCUCUCUACCGCAGUAUUGUUGGUGCUCUUCAGUACCUCACGCUCACCAGACCAGACAUUCAGUUUGCGGUGCAGCAAGUUUGCUUGCAUAUGCACUCGCCCCGUGAUGUUCACUGGUCUCUGGUCAAGCGCAUUCUUCGGUAUAUUUGUGGCACACCGACCUUUGGACUUCGUCUUCGCGCCUCCGCCUCCACCGAGCUGCUUGCUUACACUGAUGCGGAUUGGGCCGGUUGUCCUGACACUCGACGCUCCACGUCGGGAUAUUCUGUCUUCUUCGGUGACUCUCUCAUCUCUUGGUCCUCUAAGCAGCAGCCCACCGUCUCCCGCUCGAGUGCUGAGGCCGAGUACCGUGCCGUCGCCAAUGUUGUUGCCGAGACAUGUUGGCUCCGUCAGCUACUUGGUGAACUUCGGGUUCCAAUCCCGAAAGCUACGGUGGUUUUUUGUGAUAAUGUUUCGGCCACCUACCUCGUGGCCAAUCCAGUGCAGCACAAGCGCACCAAGCAUAUUGAACUUGAUGUUCACUUCGUCCGCGAGAAGGUACAGUUGGGUCAGCUUCGUGUUCUUCAUGUACCGACCACCCAGCAAUUUGCCGACAUUAUGACCAAGGGGCUUCCAACCGCUGCAUUCCAGAAGUUUCAUUCCAGUCUUUGCAUCACCUACACCGACGCUUCGACUGCGUGGGGGUGUUGA
rnacentral:rRNA from 1 species